ensembl:lncRNA
CUGUCAAGAUUUGUAAACUGCAUCAAAGUGAGGAGAUCUUUCUGCUAAUGGAAUUUUGACAAAACCCACUCAACCGGACAGAUGGCUCUGAAUUCCUGCAUAAUGAAAGAUUAAAGAUAUGGGAUGUACAACAUCCAGACCAAAUUAUCAGCAAUAUGGUAAUGCAGACGAAGAAACGGUGCCACUCAUUGAUGACAUCAAUGUUGUGCUUAUUGGUUGUAAAAACUCUGGGAAAACUAAAGUUGCAAAUGCCAUUCUUGGAAAGAAAGCCUUCACACAGACCACAUAUUCAGAUGAGUAUGUGCAGCGCCAAAAGACAACUUUUGGAAGGACUAUUUCUGUAAUUCGUGUUCCUGGUUGGUCUGGAGAUUUGAAAUCUGGAGGUAAUGAGCAAAAACAUGUUCGGCAGGUGAUAAAGGACAGCGUGUGGUCCUUCAAACCUGGAACUAAUGCCAUCAUACUGGUGGUUGAAAAGGACACACAACUUUCAAGCACAACAAAAAGCACAUUAAAAACACUUUUGGGUCCCGGUGUUGCUGAGCACAUUUUAGUCAUUUCCACAGAUGGAAACAAGAUUUCAGUUGCUACAAUAAGUGAGCAUUAUAAUAACAAACAAACAAUAAUUCAACCAUAUCAGAAUCAUUACUUAUUCUGGAGAAAAACCAGCACCUGAAGUUAAUUGAAACAAUUGAGGAUUUUAUUGUGGGAAAUAAUGAUAUUUAUUUUUGUCCAGUGGGCAAAGGAGAACCCAAACCUGCACUGCAGAUUGAGCAGUUGGAAACUGUUGUGAAUAGACUAAGUCAGAGAAUCUCUCAAUACACAGACAGAAAUAAUGAAAUGAAUAAUGAAAUCAGUAAACUACAAAAGGUACUGGGAAAAAAGCAGGAAACACUGAAAGCUCUGAGGUUUAAAAAUUCCACAGAGCUCUCUGUCCUGCAUGGAGGGAUCCCCCAAUUUGAUGAAGCUCGAAGGGAAGAAGAAGUAAAGGGAAAGGGGAAAAAAAGAAGUAAUAAAAAAACAAGAAAAAGAAAACGUGGAAGAAACAAACACGCACACAAAGAAGAUGCACAGGAAUUAGUCCCACUGUGCUCAGCAGAAGAAACACCAGUUGAAGAAAAGCAGGCCAGUAAAGGUGUGGACUUUGUGGACAGUUUCCGUGCAGAAAUCAUUCAGAAAGUUACAUCAGUUGAGCCCAUUCUUGAUGACUUGUUUCAAUUUAUUGGGGGAGAACAGUAUUCAAACGUCACACAACAUAAAACACCCCAGAAAAAACUAAGAGAGCUCUACACUAUCUUAAAUGCACGUGGACCAAAGCUGAAAGCAAAGUUUUACAAGAGUCUGGUAAAAUAUGAGAAUGGAAUUGUCAACGAACUAUAUGAAGGGGUUAGUGAGUCUACCAAUCACAAAGACUGUGUAAGGACACAGGGAUUUGUAACGUUUCGUAAAAAGACUAGUUAGCAGACUUGUAAUUGUAAUUGGUGCAAAUGUGGUACCAAACUGUGAGUCUGAUCGUUGUGCUGAUUUUUUGGGGAGUGUGGGUGCCUUUCAGGGCUUCCUCUUAUACUGGCCAGUAGAGCGCACAGCUUUGUGUAGAAGGGGGGGAGGUAAAGUCUGGGAACCUGUGGAGAAGACAAGGAGAAAGAGUCAAGGUGCUGAUGCUUGCAGGGUAAAGCAUACCCUCCUUUUUGAUGUACAAACCUGAACAUUUCCUCACACUUUCAAAAACUACUUAAACAUUUUCACCUAUUUAACACAGAGUUAACACAAAGAAAACCAAAUUAAUUAUAGAACAAUGCUUAUUCUGAAGCCAUAAAAAUAAGAGACAUUACUGGGAAGGUGCAAAGCAAUUGUCUUUAAGAUAUUAAGCCUCUACUCUCUUAAAGAAAAAAUGCUUUAGGAGGUUCUUUUAGCAAUGAUAAACAGGUACUUUAAUUUUAAUAAUAACUGUUUUAAAUAGAUAUUUGUGAAAGUAUAGAUGUUCCAAAAUUGGUUAAUCUAGCUUUUUAAGAGUAUAACACAGUUGGAGCCAAGGUAGGGUGCAUUUCGCAGCUGCUACAUAUAGAAGGCUGUUCAAAAGUAAAGGACCCUUUAAAUGACAGUUGUACCGCCAGAGCUGGACCACCCUCUAUAUGCUUACUAUGCAUGCUGCAAAGGGCUCACAAAUGAAAAAAAUACCCCUGUCUCUGCCUUUUGUCAAGUUAGGAAGAAUUAGAGUCUUAUAUCAAUCAGAAGGUAAAGCGAAACUAUCCUUCAGUACAAGAAAAGUACUGUAAAUCAUUCUACUACAUCAGGGGUCGGCAAUUCAGAUAUUUUCCAAGUCAUUUCGUGGCGGGCCACAAGUAGGGGUGGGGUUGGGUUGAAAGAAAAAAAUAAAUAUAAAAACACGCCGCUCCUCA